rnacentral:lncRNA from 10 species
AGCUGGUAGCUGGGAGCUGGAGCUGUAGAGUUCCAGGCUGGGAGCUGGAGAGCCCUGGGUGAGAGGGAGGCCUAGAGGGGCCCCGGGGGACACACCAGGCUUGAGGGUAGUAGGUGCUGGAGGCAGAGCCUGGCCUGUCCAGGGUGGGACCUCACGACCCACCCUGUCCGGCCCCCAGCUCGGAGGAGCUUCUACGUGUAUGCGGGCAUCCUGGCACUGCUCAACCUACUGCAGGGGCUGGGGAGUGUGCUGCUGUGCUUCGACAUCAUCGAGGGGCUCUGCUGUGUAGAUGCCACAACCUUCCUGUACUUCAGCUUCUUCGCUCCGCUCAUCUACGUGGCUUUCCUCCGGGGCUUCUUCGGGUGAGUCUGUGGCCGCCGGCGCCCCCGCGUGGCUGCCGGCGGAACUGCGCCUUCUUCCAGCAUGGGUGUGAGGAUUGAAGCUGAGAGGCUGUGUAUGCAUACAGUGCGCAUGCGCACGCACAUACAUACAUGCACUUGGGCACACACAUACAGAUACACAUGCACAUGCACACAGAUAUACGCACACCCACCCACAUGUGCAUGGAC